GGCAAGAUGGCCGAGUUGGUCAUGGCACCAGGUUAGUACUAACUUAACACGCAACCUGGUUCGGGAAACUGAUCGUGGGUUCGAAUCCCACUCUUGUCA